rnacentral:rRNA from 1 species
UGCAGUCGAACGGAAAGGCCCUUCGGGGUACUCGAGUGGCGAACGGGUGAGUAACACGUGGGUGAUCUGCCUCGUACUCUGGGAUAAGCCUGGGAAACUGGGUCUAAUACCGGAUAGGACCUUCUCUCGCAUGGGGGUUGGUGGAAAGUUUUUCGGUACGAGAUGGGCCCGCGGCCUAUCAGCUUGUUGGUGGGGUAAUGGCCUACCAAGGCGACGACGGGUAGCCGGCCUGAGAGGGCGACCGGCCACACUGGGACUGAGACACGGCCCAGACUCCUACGGGAGGCAGCAGUGGGGAAUAUUGCACAAUGGGCGCAAGCCUGAUGCAGCGACGCCGCGUGAGGGAUGACGGCCUUCGGGUUGUAAACCUCUUUCACCAGGGGCGAACUAAGGACGGUACCUGGAGAAGAAGCACCGGCCAACUACGUGCCAGCAGCCGCGGUAAUACGUAGGGUGCGAGCGUUGUCCGGAAUUACUGGGCGUAAAGAGCUCGUAGGCGGUUUGUCGCGUCGUUCGUGAAAACUUGAUGCUUAACAUCAAGCGUGCGGGCGAUACGGGCAGACUUGAGUACUACAGGGGAGACUGGAAUUCCUGGUGUAGCGGUGAAAUGCGCAGAUAUCAGGAGGAACACCGGUGGCGAAGGCGGGUCUCUGGGUAGUAACUGACGCUGAGGAGCGAAAGCGUGGGUAGCGAACAGGAUUAGAUACCCUGGUAGUCCACGCCGUAAACGGUGGGUACUAGGUGUGGGUUCCUUUCACGGGAUCCGUGCCGUA